rnacentral:rRNA from 1 species
GAUGAACGCUGGCGGCGUGCCUAAUACAUGCAAGUCGAGCGAACAGACGAGGAUCUUGCUUCUCUUACGUGAGCGGCGGACGGGUGAGUAACACGUGUAUAACCGACCUAUAAGACUAGGGUAACUUCGGGAAAGCGGAUCUAAUACCGGACAAUAUAUUGAACCGCAGGGUUCAUUAGUGAAAGACGGUUUUGCUGUCACUUAUAGAGGUAUCCGCGUCGGAGGAGUUAGUGGGUAGGGGAACGGCGAACCAAGGCGACGAUGCGUAACCGAUCUGAGAGGAUGAUCAGUCACACUGGAACUGAGACACGGUCCAGACUCCUACGGGAGGCAGCAGUGGGGAAUAUUGGACAAUGGGCGAAAGCCUGAACCAGCCAUGACGCGUGUGUGAAGAAGGUCUUCGGAUUGUAAAGCACUUUAAGUUGGGAGGAAGGGCAGUAAGUUAAUACCUUGCUGUUUUGACGUUACCAACAGAAUAAGCACCGGCUAACUUCGUG